UCCACAGUGAUGAGGUCUGAACUAGAAAAUCCACAGUGCCAAGGUCUGGAGAGGGACUGCCAACCAAUGCAAAUGCUGUGAGGUCAUCUUCUUAAUCACUCAUUUAGAAAGAUGGGCAGUUAUAGGCUGUAUCCUUAGAUGCACCAGAAGAAAAAACAAUUACAUUGGUAAAAAAAAAAUAUAUCUUCAAAGCUUUAUUUCUCAAGGUUUGACAUUUAACCAACCUUCUAUAAUAUUAUGGUUAUUAUCCAAGGGACUGAUUUUUCAAAAUUUGAUGUGUUUCUCCUUAAAAGGAGAGCCAUUCACAACCACUCCACCCAUGCCUGCCUUAUCCCAGAAAGCAGGAAACUGUCUUCCUUGGAGUAUUUAAAAGAAAGAGAAGCCCCUACAUUUUAGAUGAACCUAUAGCCACAAAGAUGGAGACUAUAUUCCUUUGGUGUUCAGUAUGGCCAUAUGAAAACAUUCAGGCCAAAUGGACAAAGGCAGAAAUUAUCUGCUUAAGUUCAGAGUCACCUCCUUAAAGAUAAGUCAUCUUUCUUCGCUUUUGUACAGCUAUAACAAGAACAUGGAGCUCUGUCAGAGACAACAGUUUCCUCAGCUAUAAAAUAAGGUGUUUGAACAGGAUGACUUCUAAGGUCCUUUCAAACUCUCCAACUGCACAUUCUCAAUGUUAAUGUAGAUGCCUAGAGAAAUAGUAUCCAUGCAAGGUAAAGGAAGAAAACUGUCAAGAUACUCCAGACAGACACUUGGGGCUGAAAAACAUACCAAGAGUGAUUACUUUCUUAAAUUAACAGCCUUACCAUAUUUAAUGGAGUGAAUAAAAAAUGAACCAAAUCUGUA